GGAAAGCAAAGCCAACUUUCCAAAUCAGCACUUUCCAGGGCCAGCGGAAGACUUAACCCCCAAAUUAAAGUCAGCAUCUUGAAGCCGGUGCUCCUAGUGGGAGGGAGCAAAGCUACUGAAGUGGGGGAUGCUGACAACAGAGAGGCCACACGCGUGUGAGGGCAGGGACAGAGGAAACUGCCCAACUUCACUGUGAACCGAAGACUGCUUUAAAGCUUUGUUGAUACCUGUCCACCUCACUGCCCUGUCAUUUCUGCUGUCGGAUGCUACAGCCCUGAAGCCACACAAAGCCACUGUGCUCAAGAAAACAAAACGAGAUCUAGACAUAUGCAGGGGGUUUCUGGCUCAGCGGUUAGGAACACUGGCUGCUCUUCUGGAGGCCAGGAGUUCCGCUCCCAGCAGCCACAUCAGGCGACUCCCAGUGGCCUACGGCUCCAGCUCGAGGGGCUGCAACGUCCUCUCCUGGACCUGCAGCACAUACUCACACAGAAGAGGCAGACUUCACGCUUCUUAAAAAGGGCGAUGCGACCAUACUUCGAACUCCACUGCUUUGACUCCCUUCAGGGUACAUGACACUCCUCAGAAAGCCAACAGCAACCUUUCCUUGUGCUGAUUUCUCAGGAUGUUUUAUCACAGCCGCAGGAACGACGAAGGACUAAGAUGGAGCCCUGGCUUUCUGUGUGGGUUGGGCAACUGGGCAUCUUCCGGGCCCCAAUGCUGGGAUCCCAUGAUUUUACAUGUUACACGAAUGUUACAUGUGUGUAACACUCAUGCACCUGCUACUUCUCCUUUCUCUAAAUAGUCUCACCAUGACCAUAUUUCACUUAAUAUUUUCUCCUCUCUAAUGACAAAUGUAUAAAUGCACGUAUCUAUUAAUAAAAUAAUUUCUGUUGUUUUGUUCCAUUCUGUCUGUGACCUAUGCUGGCCUUGAACUUGUGACAGGCCUCCUUCCUCAAGCCCUUGAGUUCUGGGCUUUCAGGCCUGAGCCACCAAUGUCUGGUCAGAACUGUUUUCAAUAAAAUCUUUAAAAAUGU